rnacentral:rRNA from 1 species
GGCCACUGCUAUCGGGCUCCGACUAAGCCAUGCGAGUUUAGGGGCUCUUCGGAGCACCGGCGGACGGCUCAGUAACACGUGGACAACCUACCCUCGGGUGGGGGAUAACCUCGGGAAACUGAGGCUAAUACCCCAUAGGUCUCGGAUACUGGAAGGUUCCGAGGCUGAAAGCUCCGGCGCCCGAGGAUGGGUCUGCGGCCUAUCAGGUAGUUGGUGGUGUAAAGGACCACCAAGCCUGCGACGGGUACGGGCCCUGAGAGGGGAAGCCCGGAGAUGGACUCUGAGACACGAGUCCAGGCCCUACGGGGCGCAGCAGGCGCGAAACCUUCGCAAUGCGCGAAAGCGCGACGAGGGGAGCCCGAGUGCCCUUCCUUCGGGGAGGGCUUUUCUGGAGCCUAAAAAGCUCCAGGAAUAAGGGCUGGGCAAGACGGGUGCCAGCCGCCGCGGUAAUACCCGCAGCUCAAGUGGUGGCCGCUAUUAUUGAGCCUAAAGCGUCCGUAGCCGGACCCGUAAAUCCCUGGGUAAAUCCUGGCGCUCAACGUCAGGAAUUCCGGGGAGACUGCGGGUCUUGGGACCGGGAGAGGCCGGAGGUACUCCCGGGGUAGCGGUGAAAUGCUGUAAUCCUGGGGGGACCACCUGUGGCGAAAGCGUCCGGCUUGAACGGCUCCGACGGUGAGGGACGAAGGCCAGGGGAGCGAACCGGAUUAGAUACCCGGGUAGUCCUGGCUGUAAACGCUGCCCGCUUGGUGUUGCCGGUCUCACGGGGGCCGGCAGUGCCGGAGCGAAGGUGUUAAGCGGGCCGCUUGGGAAGUACGGCCGCAAGGCUGAAACUUAAAGGAAUUGGCGGGAGAGCACUGCAACGGGAGGAGCGUGCGGUUU